rnacentral:rRNA from 1 species
UACGUAGGGGGCAAGCGUUGUCCGGAUUCACUGGGUUUAAAGGGAGCGUAGGUGGGAAUGUAAGUCAGUGGUGAAAUCUCCGUGCUUAACACGUAAACUGCCAUUGAUACUAUGUUUCUUGAAUUUUCUGGAGGUUAGCGGAAUAUGUCAUGUAGCGGUGAAAUGCUUAGAUAUGACAUAGAACACCAAUUGCGAAGGCAGCUAACUACAGGGAUAUUGACACUGAGGCUCGAAAGCGUGGGGAUCAAACAGG